GCGCUGAGCAUCUCCCUGCUGGUCAGAUUGGCGCCCUUCAUCAGCAGCCUCUCGCCGUCCACUGAGGAGGAAGACAAAAAAGCGGAGGAUCACGUCAGCACAAUGACACAAUGGCCGGACAAAGUUAAGUGAAGGAGUCCGGAGGCACGAUAACAACACGCUGGUUCAUCACACGCCCUCGAAAACACUCUGUGGCGAGGAAGUGAAAACUCGUUGUGACUUCUCCGUCUCCAGACCGCAAAAUGGACUCAGCUGCAGAAACCACCGGGAGUUUUCUUCUAGACAUAUGCUAUAAAUGAGAAUUGAGAGAGCAAAUUGUUACAGUUGGAAUGGGAAUGGAAUGUAUUGGCCUUUGCAGUUUCCUCAACUGCCAAACUUGAAACUGCAUUCAAAACUAGAGCCAAACACACUUUGCACUCGCCCGCCACAAUGUCAGGUUCUGGUAGCACCCAGCAUCUGUUACUUAUACUUGAGCAUUUUGUAUUUCAUAUAUUUUAGAAUAAGAAUCAUCUUUAUUUUGCCAAGUAUGUCCAAAAAAACACACAAGGAAUUUGUCUCCGGUAGUUGGAGCCGCUCUAGUACGACAACAGACAAGUCAAUUGACAGAGAACGCUUUUGAGACAUAAAGACAUUGAGAAAAACCGUCACUGAGCAAUAAAAGGUUGUCAGUAAUCUGGUAAUGUCGUUACAAAUAUUUUUUUUGCUUUUUGACAAUUGUGCAAAAAGAUGCAGAGUCCUCUAGUACUUAGAGCAGUUCGAAUGAGUAAUCUCGCAAUAGUCCAGUGCAAUGACCAUCGUGCAAAGGGCGCCGAGACUUCAAGGAGUGUAUGCAGUUCAAAGUGACAAGUAGUGCGAUAAUCUGGGACCAUGUCGAUUGUGCAAAUGUUGCAGAGACCACUCAGUCGAUUCAUCAUUAAAAUAACAUUUCAUUUUCAUUUAUUAUUUAAGUAAACAAUUUUACAUGA